AUGGAGCAGACAAUUCUAGGAAUAUUUGCCGUAAAGAAGGACGGUGCAGAACCCACAGAUGAGCUGGAAGAUGUUGGAAUAAUCAUCAAAGGUGUGAAAGUGCUUUGUGACCUUGGUAACGUUGCAAAUGCAGUCGCUGUUUGGCCUCAUCAGAGGGCGCUCUCUUAUUGUGCAGUUCUAACUGUCUCUGCCUUUCAUUUGAGGGUCUCUGCAGCUACGACUGCCACCCAGUCUGUCUGGAUCAGGGCUGGAGGACUUUCUGGUGGAGGAAACAAUGAAAACAGUGUGGCCGCGCCCACCCUCACGGUCCUGCCCCCCUCCAGCGUGGAGCUGCAGCAGGGGAAGGCCACACUCGUGUGUUUGGCCAACAAGGGCUUCCCCUCAGACUGGAGGCUGAGCUGGAAGGUGGACGGGAGCAGCUGGAGCUCGGGGGUUAGCCAGAGCCCCGGGCUUCUGCAGAAGGACGACGGCCUCUACAGCUGGAGCAGCACCCUGACCCUCCAGGAGGACCAGUGGCUAAAGAAGACAGUGACCUGUGAGGCCACCAAGGACUCCCAGACUCCUGUCAGCCAAACCCUGAGCAGAGAGCAAUGCACUGGGCAGUGAGCGUCCACGCGUGUGUUGGAGCUGCUAGAGCUCCUCUUGAUCUUCAGUGAGCUCAAACAUGGCUCUGCUUAAUGCUCUGAUCUUCAUCUCAUCACUUCAUCAUCACAAUAAAGAGCUUCAGUAUUAAUAUCUA